UACGUAGGGAACAAGCGUUGUCCGGAAUCAUUGGGCGUAAAGAGCGUGUAGACAGCCCGAUAAGUCCGCUGUGAAAGUCCAGGGCUCAACCCUGGAAUGCCGGUGGAAACUGUCGGGCUGGAGUCCGGAAGAGGCGAGUGGAAUUCCUGGUGUAGCGGUGAAAUGCGCAGAUAUCAGGAGGAACACCAAUGGCGAAGGCAGCUCGCUGGGACGGUACUGACGCUGAGACGCGAAAGCGUGGGGAGCGAUCCGG
rnacentral:rRNA from 1 species